AAAGCCCACCACUCUCCCCACGACCUCCUCCCUCAAUCUCUGGAUUCCCCCAAACCCGCGGCCGCAUUUCUCGUCAUAGUACGCCGGCGGCCCCGCUCUUCCUCCUCCCGGCCAAGCGAGCCGCGCGCCACCGGCCCCGCUCCUCUUCCCCAUAUCAGCCAUGCGCGUCGCCGCUCCCGCGCAUGCUUCCUCCUCCUGCCAUGCGCGUCGCCGCCCCGCGCCUCCAUGGCUCCAUCCUCCUCCUAGCACGCGCGCUGCCGUCCCCACGCAUCCUUCCUCCUCCUAGCAUGCGCGCCCCCGUCCCCGCGCCUCCCUCCUCCAAGCACGCCCCACCCCUUCCCCCUCCCGGCAUGCGCGCCGCCGCCCCGACCUUCCUCCCGCACUCACCACCGCUCGCCCCCAUCUCCUCCCUGCUUCCAUAGCCGCCUCGACCCCAUCUCCUCCUAGGUUCCUGCCGCCUCCCCGCCCCCAUCUUCCCCAGCUCCGGCCGCCGCGACGCACCUAUAUCCCCAAGCUCCUGCCGCCACAGCGCCCCAUCUCCCCUCGCUCCCACACCACCACGCCAUCUCCUCCCGAUGGGGCUCUGCCGCCGAAGCGAUCUGGCUGUUCACAGCCACCACCCCUGUCCGUUCACCUGUACAAGAUGACCAGGCCGAGGAGGCAACAAAGAAAGAGCUAAGCGAUCUAGUAGAGUUCAUUUAUUGAAGGUGUUCACCUUUUGUGUGAUUAUCAGUUCACGUUUGGUGUGAUUUUCUGUUCAGCAGGCUUACUAUUUCAUCGUCAGGAUGCAGCAAAAAAGCAAGAUUCACAAGUUCAUCUUCUGGAUGCUUUUCAGUACAUCUACUUCCCGCUGGAGCGCCCUGGCCGAUCACAGCCACCACAGCAGGCCGUUCAACACCACCUCCGCAGGCGGUUCAUCGCAAAAACAGCGACCUGAUUCCCGCUGGUUCUCACCAGCAACGCCCAUUCGAGCACAUCAUCGCUCUCCUGCUGCAGCGUGGCUCAGCUACUGCACUUGGUGGAGUACAUGAAUUGGACUGACGAGGAAGAUGCAUUCUGGGUAUAUCAAAGCCUGCUGGAGGAGUCACGGGGUCGAGGACCUCCUGCUUAAUAGUACAACUUCUUGUUUUGUGACCGGUUGCUCAAGGAGCUGAGUGCAGGCCGCAGUAAGUACAUGAGUACUAAUAUUAGGAUAUGUCUGGUCCCAGAAAAACAUUUGUCGGGUUUUUGGUGGCCAAGUAUUAUUGAUAUGGAGAUGAAUAACUAUGUGGAUGCGCUCCUAUUGUUUUUCUGGAAAAAACAAGAUGCCAUGUUUUACUUUAUGAGCUUUCCAAUUUGCAUACUUCAAAGUUGUUGCUUGCUCCCACCCGUGAAUUGCGCAAUUUCAAUGGGUGUCGUCGAGCAUGUUCGGAAGUAUGCCCUUCGUGCAAAAGUGUGAAGUUUUGUCAGUAUUUUGUAUAUUUCAUUUGACAAAGGCUUCAUGUGAUCUUAUGAAGCUUUAUAGAUGUACUGCCAUUACACUUUUAAGGCCAUACAGUUCAUUAUAUCAUACAUGUGUGGCAGUUCAAUAUGUAUUACAUGAUCAGUUCUUGGAAAAGAAGAACACAAUAGUUCGGUCGAAAACAAUGAUCAGUUCGAUAGUGCUCUCUCCUGCCUAUUUUGGUUGAUGUCCAUGAAUGGACAAAAAAUUGUAUGGAAAAUGUUCUAUUAUUAUUAGCAUAUAUGUAUGAGAAAUGUUCUAUUA